rnacentral:lncRNA from 1 species
GAUUCCUAGUCCCUGGCAAUAUGUUAUUUGUUCUCCGAAUAUGACGCAUGUGCCGCUUGGUGGGUCGCAGUGACCGGCAAGGUUCAGAGACGGAGUUUGGCCGCCACCAAAAACGUUAAGGAAAGCUAAGUUUAUGAUAUCAUAUAUUCCGGUGUCACAUGCUUCCUUCAGGGUUCCCUCAUAAAGAUUUUGACCCCAGUAGGUGGAAAUGACAGUGGCAUAAGAGGUUUUGCUUAGUGCUGCAGCUACGAAGAAGAUGAGCAAGGCUAUGGUUUGUGAUUUCCGAGCCAUUUUUGCAAAUGUAGGAAGGAAUGGUCUGAAAUUGCAGGUAGUGGUGUGAUCAGACCAUGCUAACUCUUGCUACAUUUUAUAGAGUUUCCGGGGCUGAUGAUGACAAAUGAAAUGAUUUGAUUUAAGCUUUGAAUUUUCUUCUUUUGUUUUUUUGAUAAAAAAAUGAUAUUGUAGGCACGUGUUUAAUUUAUGAACCAAUAGUAACUAUAUGUGGUCAUUAAUCCUUAUCCAAAAAGUUGUGUUGAAAUUUCACAUUCUCCGUAAAAGAACAAUCAAUACUAAAAUAGUAUUCUAUUUUGGACCGUAAAAGAACAAUCAAUACUAACGUUACAAACUUAAUUUUUUUUGAAAAAUAAAAAUUACCGGCCUAUUCACAAUGGAACUUUCUUGUCAGUAGUGUGCAUAUCACUGUUUGAUCGAAAAUUGAUUGGCAAUCCAUCGGUGAUUUUCAACACAUCAUUAUUGACAAAAUGGAAUUCGUCCAUCAAAUUUAAGUUUUUUGUGUAGAAUCGACGCCACUGAUGGAUAAAAGUCAUAUUUUGUUAUAAUGAUCAAAAGAUUCUAUUGAUAAUGAUUUCCAUUAACAAAUUAUACUAACAAAAUUACUAACGAGACAUACGAUCAAUAACACAGUAAACUUAUCAAACAAAUAGUCAACGGAAUUUCUUCUUGUUUUUUUCUUUCUUUGUUAGUUUGCUUUGAACUUUCUUAACUGUGGGAAACAAGAUUUCUGUGGCUGCUUGAGGAUUUCGGAUGUGCUCUUUGGGUAGAGGCCGCCCCUCCGUUUGGCUUUUUGGAUGUUUUGGCUGGUGCUUCUGGGGUUCUUGGAUCGGAUUCGAUGGUUUGUGUCAGGAUGUCCAAGGUUUCAAGACCUCGGCUGGGUCCGAGGAGUGUUCCUUUGGCUUCGGUUUUUUGAUCUUUUCACGUUCGGAUCAUUUGCUUGCUGGCUUGUCUUUGCUCCGGUUGUGUUGUUGAAGAUUUUGUGUUUCUGCAAAGGCGUUGUUUUGCUGUUUCUUAUGGCCUGUUAAGGCUUUUUAUGUUGUCAGGUUACUGCUUAUUUCUUUUUAAGCAGUACUACUCCUUGUGUAAUUGUUCAGGAUCUUUCUUAGCGAAGCUAGUAUUCUUAUGCCACGACAAGUCUCUUCUAACCGGUUGAAGACUUGUUGUGGCAUACAAGUUUUGUAGUUAUCGCCAUCAUAAUUAUUCCUCGACCUUAUUGCUAUUGGAUUUUCAUUAGCUCGGUUUUCACAUUGUAGUCGAGAUACUAGUUAAUUAUUUUUUGUCUAAGUGUAAAAGAAAAACAAUGGAGGUUUUGAUGUUUGAUAUUUGGUUUUUUAGUAAAUUAGUUAACAUUUUAAUUUGUUUGUUUCGAUGGUCCAUGAUAACAAAAGAAAUUCAGUAAAGUUGUGAUGUGGCAAAAUAUAAUUGGUGGGGUGCAAAAUGAUGGGGUUUUCAUCAUUUUUCUCUAAUAGUAAAUAUAUGUGGUCAUUAAUCCUUACCCAAAAAGUUGUGUUGAAAUCUCACAUUCUGGGUAAAAGAACAAUCAAUAUUGAAAUGCAUAGUAUUCGCGUAAAAGAACAAUUAAUAUUAAAAUGCAUAGUAUUCUAUUUUGGACCGUAGAAGAAAUGGUUAUAAUUGCGUUCAAUCAAGUCUUAUACUUUUAUUUUGAAUUAAAUAAAUUCUUAUGAUUAAUGGUUGAAUAAUUAUUAUUAGUCAAAAUAUGACUUAUCAUUUUAUAUCUGUAUGGCAAUGACAUGACGUUAAUGUGUAAGAUAAAAAAUACUACAUGAUUAUGUUAUUAUGCCAAAUUAACAUAUUACGUCAUCAUUAUUUAUGAUAUAUCAACAUGCCAUAUCAUCAUCAAUUAUGAUAUGUUAACAUGUCAAGUCAGCACACGCAACAUAGAAUGACAAAUGACUUUUUCAUUAAGUUAAUAAUUAGUUAUAAAGGUUUAUUUAAUUCAAAAUAAAAGUACAAAGGAUUAUUCGAUUCAAAAUAAAAACAUAUGUACUUGAUUAAACGUAAUAAAAGUAUAAAGGCUUAUUUUAAUUUUUUCGAAUAGUUUAGAUAUUUUUUCAGAUAUUAUGCCAAAACAAUAACAUGUUUGGUUCCAAAAUAUAAUGGAAUAAAUUAGGUAUUUUGUGCGAAUAGAAUAAGGUAGGAAUAAAAUGGAAAUGUUAUUAUCUAGUUUGGUUGAUUGAAUGGAAUAAGGUAGGAAUUACUAUUAUAACUUAUUGCAAUAUUUAGUUGGUAAAAAUAAUUUUGGAAUAACAAAAAAAUAGAUGAUAAAAAGAUAAAAAUACUAUUUAUUAUAACAUAUGAUUAUUUUAUUUUUAUUUUAUUUUUUAAAUAUUAACCGUUUAUAAUUAUUUAAAAUAUUAAUAAUUGAUAAUUAAUAUUAAUAUUUAUUUAUAAUUUAAUCAUUAACAUUUUAAAAUAUUAAUAUUAAUAUUUUAUUUAUAAUUUAAAAUUAAUAUUUUAUUUAUAAUUUAAAAUAUUAAUAAUUGAUAAUUAUUUUUAAAUUUAAAAUAUUAAUUUUUUAUAAUAUAUUAUUAAAAACUUAAACUUUUUUUCUUUUUUAUAAUAAUAUUAAUAAUUGAUCAUUUAAAUAUUAAUAUUUUAUUUAUAAUUCAAUCAUUAAUAUUUUAAAUUAUUAAUAUUUUAUUUACAAUUGNUAUUAAUAAUUGAUCAUUUAAAUAUUAACAUUUUUAAGUAUUAAUAUUUUAUUUAUAAUUUAAUUAUUAAUAUUUUAAAAUAUUAAUAUUUUAUUUAUCAUUUCAAUAUUAUUAUGGUUAAAAUAUUAAUAAUUUUAAUUGAUUUUUUAGAUUUAAAAUAUUAAUUUUUUAUAAUAUAAAAUUAAAAACUUAAACUUUUAUUUGAAAUUCUGUUUUCUUUUUUUUUUCAUUUUCACUUAUAAGUGUCAUUUUUGUCUUAUUAAUUUUUGAAUCUAAUCCCCCACCCAUAGAAUAGCUUAUACCACAGGAGUUGGUAUUAGUUAUUCUUUAAUUUUAGGUGAUUUUAAGGAAUAAAGAUUCCAGAGGAAUGGCUAUUGCUUGAAACAUUUGACAACCAAACAAAGGAACAUAUCAUUAAUGAAAUUGAAAGUUUGAGAAAUUUAAUUGGAGAUAUAAUAUUAAUAUACACAUCCAUGAAGCUAAUGCUUUUGUGGAUUCCUUAACUAAAUUUGAACUGCUGUAACUUGUUGUUCUAUGCUGAACGAUUGAGUAUUAUCUACGUUUUGUCUCCAGGGAGUUUUGUUGUAAACUUCAAUCUGAUCUAACUUUGUUUGAUCAGACUUUGUAUCAGUUGAAGAUACUUAAUUAAUAAAACUGUUUAUGAUUGAAUAAAAAAAAUGUAGUGAAAAAUAAAAGGUUUUACACGCGUAUGUGUGUUUAUGUAUAGAAAGUUCAAUGAAUUCAGGAGUAGUGUUUGAAAAAGUUGAGCAUCCAUAAAUUUCAAAUGUUAUUAAUUAAGAACAAAUGCAGUUACAGUACACCUAUUGUCUUCUUUAUAUUAUUACAUUAUGGAACUAAUAUGGAGUCUUUUAGGCAGCAUUCUUUGCAUCUUCCCUAUUCAUUCUGUUUCAAAAAAUUACGAACUUAAGUUUUUUUGAAAAAUAAAAAUUACCGGCCUAUUAACAAUGGAACUUUCUUGUCAGUAGUGUGCAUAUCACAGUUUGAUCGAAAAUUGAUCGGUAGUCCAUCAGUGAUUUUCAACAUAUCAUUAUUGACAAAAUGGAAUUCGUCCAUCAAAUUUAAUUUUUUUAUGUGGAAUGGACGCCACUCAUGGAUAAAAUUCCAAUUUUUUUAUAAUAAUCAAAGAUUUCAUGGAUAAUGAUUUUCACCGACAAAAUUACCAAACAGACAUACGAUUAAUAACACAAUAAACUUAUCGACAAAUAGUGAACGGAAUUUCUUGUUGCUUUUUCUUUCUUUGUUAGUUUGCUUUGAACUUUCUUAACUGUCGGCGACAAGAUUUCUGUGGCUGCUUGAGGAUUUCGGAUGUGCUCUUUGGGUCGAGGCCGCCCCUCCGCUCAGUUUUUUGGAUGUUUUGGCUGGUGCUUCUGGGGUUCUAUGGAUCGGAUUCGAUGGUGUGUGUUAGGAUGUCCAAGGUUUCGAGACCUCGGCUUGGUCUGAGGAUUGUUCCUUUGGCUUCGGUUUUUUUAUCUUUUCACGUUCGGAUCAUUUGCUUGCUGGCUUGUCUUGGCUCCGGUUGUGUUGUUGAAGAUUUUGUGUUUCUGCAAAGGCGUUGUUUUUCUGUUUCUUAUGGCUUGUUAAGGAUUUUUAUGUUGUCAGGUUACUGCUUAUUUCUUUUUAAGCAGUACUACUGCUUGUGUAAUUGUACAGGAUCUUUCUUACCGAAGCUAGUAUUCUUAUGCUACGACAAGCCUCUUCUAACCGGUUAAAGACUUGUUGUGGCAUACUAGUUUUGUAGUUAUCUCCAUCGUAAUUAUUCCUUAACCUAAUUACUAGUGGAUUUUCAUUAACUCGUUUUUCACAUUAUAGUCCACAUAUUAACUAAUUAUUUUUUGCCUUAAGUGUAAAAGAGAAACAAUGGAGGUUUUGAUGUUGAUAUUUUGUUUUUUAGUAAAUUAGUUUGAUAACAUUUUAAUUUGUUUGUUUCAAUGGUCCAAGAUAACAAAAGAAAUUCAGUAUAGUUUUGAUGUGGCAAAAUAUAAUUGAUGGGGUGCAAAAUGAUGGGGUUUUCAUCAUUUUUCUCUAAUAGUAAAUAUAUAUGAUCAUUAAUCCUUACCCAAAAAGUUGUGUUGAGAUUUCACAUUCUGGGUAAAAGAAUAAUCAAUGCUAAAAUGCAUAGUAUUCUAUUUUGAACCGUCGAAGAGAUGGUUAUAAUUGUGUUCAAUCAAGUCUUAUACUUUUAUUUUAGAUCAAAUAAAUUCUUAUGAUUAAUGAUUGAGUAAUUGUUAUUAGCCAAAAUGUGACUUGUCAUUUUAUAUCUGUGUGGCAAUGACAUGACGUUAAUGUGUAGGAUUGAAAAUACUACAUGAUUAUGUUAUUAUGCCAAAUUAGCAUGUUACGUCAUCAUCAUUUAUGAUAUGUCACAUUAGCAUGUCAAGUCAGUACCAUGCAGUAUAUAAUGAUAAAUGACUUUUUCACUAAGUCAAUCAUUAAUUAUAGGGGUUUAUUGAUUGAAAAUAAAAGUAUAAAAACUUAUUUGAUUCAAAAUAAAAACAUAUGUACUUGAUUGAACGUAAUAAAAGUAUAAGGGUUUAUUUUAAUUUUUUUGAAUAGUUUAGGUAUUUUUCCGGAUAUUAUGCCAAAAUAAUAACACGUUUGGUUCCGAAAUAGAAUGGAAUGAAUUAGAUAUUUUGCACAAAUAGAAUAAGGUAUGAAUAGAAUGAAAAUGUUAUUAUCUAGUUUGGUUAACUGAAUAGAAUAAGGCAGGAAUUAUCAUUACAACUUAUUGCAAUGUUUAGUUGCUAAAAAUAAUUUUGAAAUAAAAAAAGAAUAUAUGAUAAAAAGAUAAAAAUAUUCUUUAUUUAAUAUAUGAUUAUUUAUUUUUAUUUUAUUUUUUAAUAUUAAUAAUUUAUAAUUUAUUUAAAAUAUUAAUAAUUGAUAAUUAAUUUUUAAAUUUAAAUAUUAAUUUUUUAUAAUAUAUAAUUAAAAACUUAAACUUUUUAUUAUAAUAUGUGACUAUCUAUUUUUAUUUUAUUUUAUUUUUUAAAUAUUAAUAAUUUAUAAUUGAUUAAAAUAUUACUAAUUGAUCAUUUAAAUAUUUCAAUAUUAAUAUUUUCUUUAAAUUUAAUCAUUAAUAUUUUAAAAUAUUAAUAUUUUAUUUAUAAUUUAAAUAUUAUUAUUAAAAUAUUAAUAAUUAUUAUGUUCUUUCCAAAAAUAUUAAUAAUUAUAAUGUUUAAAUUUAAAGUAUUAAUUUUUUAUAAAAUAUAAUUAAAAAUUUAAACUUUUUAUUGAAAUUCUUUUUUUCUUUUUUUUCCAUUUUCACUUAGAAGGGGCAUUUUUAUCUUAUUAAUUUUUGAAGCUAUUCCCUCACCAAUAGAAUAGCAAAUACCAUAAGCGUUGGUAUUAGUUAUUUUUUGAUUUUAGGUAAUUUUAGGGAAUAAAGAUUCCUGAAGAAUGGCUAUUACUUGGAACAUUUGACAACUACACAAAGGAAAAUAUCCUUAAUGAAAUUGAUAGUUUGAGGAAUUUAAACCAAGAUAUAAUAUUCAUAUGCACAUCCCAUGAAGCUAAUGCUUUUGUGGAUUCCUUAACUAAAUUUUAACAGCUAGUAAUUUGUUCUGUGCUGACGAUUGAGUGUUAUGUUUAUGUUAUUUACAUUUUACCGCUAGAGUGUUUUGUUGUAAACUUCAAUCUGAUCUUACUUCGUUUGAUCAGACUUUGUAUCAGUUGAAGAUAAUUAUAAUAAAUUUUUUUAUGAUUGAAUAAAAAAAUGUAGUGAAAAAUAAAAGGUUGUACAUGUGCAUGCGUGUUUAUAUAUGGAAAGUUCAAUGAAUUCAACCGUAGUGUUUGAAAAAGUUGAGCUUGUUUAUUUUCAAAAUAUUCAGUCCAUUGGGUACCUCAGUUUCCUUGUUUUUGUCCAUUUUAUUCAAAGACAAACGUAUUAAUUAGAUAUGACAAUCCUAUUUUCUUCUUUAUAUCUCUAUACAAUUUGUGGAGCAUCCAUAAAUUUCACAUGUGAUUAAUUAAGAACAAAAGCAGUUACAGUACACAUAUUGUCUUCUUUAUAUCAUUACAUUAAGGAACUAAUUUGGAGUCUUUUGGGCAGCAUUCUUUGCAUCUUCCCUAGUCAUUGUGUUUCAAAAAAUUACAAACUUAAUUUUUUUUGAAAAAUAAAAAUUACCCGCCUAUUAACUAUGGAACUUUUUUGUCAGUAGUAUGCAUGUCACUGUUUGAUCGAAAAUUUAACUGUAGUCCAUGGGCGAUUUUCAACACAUCAUUAUUGACAAAAUGGAAUUCAUCCAUAAAAUUUUUUUUUUUAGCGGCAUUGACGCCACUGAUGGAUGAAAGUCCAAUUUUUUUUAUAAUAAUCAAAAGAUUCCAUCGAUAAUGGUUCUUACUAACAAAAUAUACCGACAAAAUUACCAACGAGACAUACGAUCAAUAAUACAGUAAACUUAUCGAACAAAUAGUCAACGGACAUUCUUAUUGUUCGUUCUUUCUUUGUUAGUUUGCUUUGAACUUUCUUAACUAUCGGGAACAAGAUUUCUGUGGCUGCUUGAGGAUUUCGGGUGUGCUCUUUGGGUAGAGGCCGCCCCUCUAUGGAUCGGAUUCGAUGGUGAGUGUCAGAAUGUCCAAGCUUUCGAGACCUCGGCUGGGUCUGAGGAGUGUUCCUUUGGCGGUCUUGUUCCUCUGGCUUCGGUUUUUUGAGCUUUUCAGGUUCGGAUCAUUUGCUUGCUGGCUUGCCUUUGCUCCGGUUGUGUUGUUGAAGAUUGUGUUUCUGCAAAGGCGUUGUCUUUAUGUUUCUUUUGGGCAGGGUCCAUGCUCAUUUCUUUAUGUUGUCAGGUCACUGCUCCUUUCUUUUUAAGGAGUACUACUCUUUUGUAAUUGUACAGGAUCUUUCUUACCGAAGCUAGUAUUCUUAUGCCAUGACAAGUCUCUUCUAACCGGUUGAAGACUUGUUGUGGGAUACUAGUUUUUCUAUCUUAAUAAAAUCCGUUUUUCAAAAAAAAAAUAAGAACAUUGCCAAAACCUUAGGCUUCCACGCCAGAGGCCAAAUAAAAAAACCCACUCUUAAUAUUCAAGAACAUCAAUACUAAACUACAAACAUCUCCUUUCUUCUCAAAAUUAAUUUUUCUAGGGUAUCUACAAUAUGUUUUAGCUGUUAAAACUUAAAACUUUAUCUUGAAAGUUUGUUCAAAAUCUAGAAUGAAAUUCAUGACAAGGUUUAUAAGAUAUAAGAGAGAAUUUUGUGUAUUUCAUGCUUUAAAAUUUUCUUUAUCUUUUGCCAUUAAUAUAUAAAAUAACACUUGAAAUUAUGAACAAUAAUGCACUUGAUCUUCAAUGCCCUCAAAAUUUUGAAAGAGAACAAUGAUGUCCUAUAUAUGAUCUGUUUUUGUACUAUCAAGAAAAGAGAUAAAUUCAGAAAGAAAACACAUAAAAAUUUUUGUCUUGGUCCCUAGAAGAAGAGUAGGUUUUGUAGAUCUCUCCAUCAUAAUUAUUCGCUAAACUUAUUGCUAUUGGAUUUUCAUUAACUCGUUUUUCACAUUAUAGUCCAGAUAUUAGUUAAUUAUUUUUUGUCUUAAGUGUAAAAGAGAAACAAUGGAGGUUUUCAUGUUUGAUAUUUUGUUUUGUAGUAAAUUAGUUUGAUAACAUUUUAAUUUGAUUGUUUCUAUAGUCCAUGAUAACAAAAGAAAUUCAAUAUAGUUUUGAUGUGGCAAAAUAUAAUUAAUGGGUGCGAAAUGAUGGGGUUUUCAUCAUUUAUCUCUAUUGAACCUUAAUUCAUAAUGGGCAAAGCAGUCAUUUCGUUUUUAUUUUUUUGGGUCUUUUCAGUUUUAAAACCCAUCAUUUUAAUUUGCAAUCUUCAAUUAUAUUUUGCCACAUCACAAGUAAAAUUUUGUCUUUUUUUGGAACAUUAAAAUUUGUCUUGGUGAUAAGAAGAAGAGUAAGUUUGGUAGAUAUCUCCAUCAUAAUUAUUCCUUAACCUUAUUGCUAUUGGAUUUUCAUUAACUCAUUUUUCACAUUGUAGUCGAGAUACUAGCUAAUUAUAAUUAGUUAUAAUACUCUAUUCUACCUACGUUCACAUUUGGCUUAAAAGAAAAAAAAAAGACUAUAAUCAGUUAGUAAAUCAACUACAAUGUGAAAAACAACUGAAUUCAAUAGGGAGAAGGUUCAUGAACGAUUACGAUUGAGGGAUUUGUAGUUACGUGCUUAGUUUACACUUAUAUUGAGUGUUUAUUUAGAAAAUAAUGGAUUCGGUGUCUAAGUUUCUAAUUUUAUCCUUUUCUUUUUCAGAGACAAACAUAUAUUCCAGUGUAUUUAAUUACGUACGACACUUAUGUUGUCUUCUUUACAUCAUUUCAUAUAUGGAAUUAAUUUGAUGAGCAUCCAUAAUUUUCACAUGUUAUAAUUCCAAACUCAGUCUCCAAUGGCCACCUUCGGUUUGUGCCAGUUCCCAGUGUGAGUCAACCAAUAAAUCCACCUUCGGUUUACAAUCAAUGGUUUAUGGCCAUAGUUUGUUAAAAAUGACGGCCCGGUUCCUGCCUAUAAUCCAACAACUAAUAAAUGCACAUGUGUCAAAUUUUGGUAAGCUAAUUAUUUUCAAAUUUAUCAACUAUUGAUAUAUUUGAUAUUUCAGCUAAAUUAGUCGACAAAUACUUUCCUAAGUAAGUUACUUCAAAUUCAAUUGUUUAUUGAUUUGUUUAUAUAAAAUUAUAUGUUCUGUUGCAACCCAUCUGAGAUGAUCUAAUUAAACUGACCAACCCUUUCGAAGAAUAAUGCGAAUGAAGAAUUUUGGUAAUAUGAAUGGAAAAAAUAUGAAAUGUUUUCUGAUUAUCCUGAUAGAUCUCGCAAUUAUUUCACUACAAUUUUAAAUCUUACUUCUAGAUACAAUCCACUCAAAAGAAAUUAUAUACACAAAUUUAAUACUAAAUACCAUAACUUCAAUAAUAUCAUAUUUUAUAAUUAUAUUUAAGCUCAUCAUAUGCCAAACUCUCCUGAAGUUAAUUUGCAAACUAUUUAAUCUUUUUGGGACUUUUUCCAUUGAAAAAAAAACAUUGAUUAUAUAUAUGUUUGGUUUCAUCUUCUAAACAGGUAUAGAAUUUAUGCUCCGACAAAAUCCUUAUAAAGCAAAAGAGAUAAGCGAUGCUAUCAACAAAACAUUGGGAAAAUAUCCAGAAAUAUCAUGUGACAAAGUUAGUAACACACUCCAAUUGAAGGAGAUCCGCUUAUGCUUUGAAAGGGCAAAGUCACCUUUCGUCCUUCAAGACUAUUAUUCCAAAGACGAUGAAUAUAGACCCUAGUAUAAGUAAAGGCCUUUUAUUAAGAACAUUUUUCAAACUCUCUCAUCAUACUAGUGGAAUCGAAUGUAUUCUUUCAUCUAAAAAAUUUUUCAAAUGAAUUCGUCUUCAUAAGUUUUUGGAAAAGUCCCAUCAUCAGGGCCUAAAUUCGUUCACAAAAUAUAUUGUUAACAUGUAAUGAAUUAAUUCUGUCCUUGCUUUGCUACCAGUUUAUUAUGUCUUUAUUCCGGAUGCCUAUCGGAAUUAAAGACAAGCUUGAUAAUAUCAUAAGAAAAUUCCUUUGGAGCGGUGAUAUUAACAAUAGGAAAAUGCACUAUGUCAACUGGGAUUCUGUUUGUUCUCUUAAAGAUAUAGGCGGGUUAGGAAUUGUUAAUUUGCACAUAAAAAUUUUGCUGUGCUCUAUGGAUGGAUAUGGUGUUUUGGAGUGGAAAAUGAUAGCCUUUGGCACAAAACUAUUGUCGAGAAAAAUGGUAUGAAUCCUAGCUCUCUUCUUCCCAUUUGUUCUUCAUCAAGGGACAGGCCUUAUCGCCAGAAUAUUGUUAAACCCUUGACUUCCAAUGAUAGUUUAUCUUGCAUUGUUAAGAAUGGGAUUGGAUUCUCUCUGGGCAUGGGGAAUAAAAUUAAAUUUUGGCAGGAUUGUUGGUCUGAUGAUUUACCUCUUUAAUCAUCUUUUUCUCGAAUUUUCGCUCUCUUUAUCUAAAGAUGGCUUUCUUAAUAAUUAUGGUGAGUGGUUUGAUGAUUCUUGGUGCUGCAAUAUUCCUUUAAGAAGAGUGCUCUUUGACUGAGAAAAGGGACAAUGGGAUCUUCUCAUGAAAUUAUUAUGUAAUUUCUCCCUUGUCAAAGAUGAACUAGAUAAAAUAAUUUGGAAGUGGUGUUUGCUCUACUAGCAGUUUUUAUCAAAUCAGCUUGUUAUGCUUUUGGUGCCUCUGAUGGGGAGAGUAAAUUUUGGAAUUUUAUAUGGGCUAAUCUUGCACCACCUGAGUGUGAGAUGUUUUGUUGGUAAGUCAUGAAAGGUCGUAUUGCUGUGAAAGCUAAGUUACUAAGAAGAGCAAUUACCAACAUAAUGCUGCCCUUAGUCCAAUUUGUAGUUCUGAAAUUGAGUCUAUUGACCACCUUUUUAUUGAAUGUCAGGAUGUUUGGAAAGUAUGGACUUUGUGGCUUAAAGCUUAGGGCAUCUCAUAGGUCUUUCCUGGUAAGAUGUGUGACCUUUUCAUUGCCUAGAAUGAUAUAUUUUCUUAUGAGUACUUUUCAUAAAUGGGCUUCAAGCAUAAGGCAUUUUUGAGAAUGGUCCUCCUUAUAAUUUUAUCUGUUUUUAGCCAAGAGAAACAAAAAUUGGACAAAAUUUUCCUUAAUGAAACGACCCAUUCGCUAGGCUUCUCGCCUAAACCUGAAACCUAUUAACGGGGCAAGUAUGUCCUUCAUAUGGAUCACAACUCUUCAGUUUUCAUCAAGAGACCGUACAUAUCCGUAGAAGCAAGCUUGUCAAAAGCAUUCCUCGAUAGUUCAACUUUCGAGCAUUUUGGCAGUGGUAGGAGCCUUUUGGAGUGGCUAUUAUUCUCAUAAAGGUAGUUAACAUAUUGAGCAGUGUGAAAAAGUUUACAUUAUACUGAGAAAGGUAUAAUAUUUUUUAUGAAUUUUUUAUUUUAUUUUGAACCAUGUGGAGGUUUUUGACAUAGCGGUUAUUGUUCAUGUUUAGGGUUAAGGUUUUUGAGCAUAAACCUAUACAUAUUGCUUGUUCAUAUUGACAUUGUUGUUGUUUGAAAUUUUUGAAUAUAAACAUGAAGGUGGUAUUGUUGGUGUUGUUGGGGUGGAAAGGUGACCGACCAUGGGUGACUAGUUGAUAUGUAUGUAUUAUGACCCUUUGUUAGAUAUUGCAUGAGUGAGGGCGUGCUUAGGUGGUUGGCACCUUUUGCGUGAGUGGAUUUUGGCAUGGAGUCACGUAGGGAUUGCGUGAUUGCAAAAGGUUUUACUUUGUGUGACUGAUUGAUAGGUCCUUGCGUGACUGGUUUCUAGGUUAUUGCGUGAAUAUUGUUCAGGCAUGGAGUCAAUUAGUGUGUGAGUGACUCAAUUAGUUGUUCUUAGAAUUGCGUGACUAAUUGAUUAGGCAUUGCGUGACUAUUUUGUAGGAAAUUGCACAAGUGUCGUAACUGCAUGAAAUUUAUCUAUAUGGGUUCAUUCUAUAUUAUUUUGGGUCAACUGUAAUGCUUUAAUGUGUAUAUGUUGAUUUACUUAAUAAUCCAUGCUCCACACUUGGAUUAAUUAUUCUGUUUCAGAGUUGUCUAAAAACAGUUAAAAAUAUUGUUAGGGUUAAUUUUUUGAGUGAGCUUAAAAGGAGGGCUAUUUCUAAGAAAUUCCUGUAGUUUUUUUGUUAAUUUACAAUGAUUGUAUUGACAUGACUAAAAUGGGAAUGUUAUCUAUUUUAUAUUGUAGAUGACCGGCACAGGAACAGAGUAGGAAAACGUGGAGUCCUUGCUUUGUGUGCCGAGGCACUAGUGGGGGUUCAAUGUGGGCAUUAUUAACAUGCACUGUAAGUGGUUGCAUCUACACGUGAUACGUGAGAUGCCGUGUCAAGUGAACGAGCUAGAAAGCUUUAAGAGAACAUGCUUCGGGCACAUGAUGGAUGUCGAAACAGACAAAAGUUUAUUUUACGCCAGUCUCGUGCACAAUCUAAUGCUGCGCAGAAUCAACGAACCUGAUGCCACGGAGGUAGAGUUAUGGUUCACAAUAAGGAAAACGAAGGCCCGUUUUUCAAAGAGGGAGUUUUGGUGACAGGACAAAAGUUUGGUCUCCUAUCGGCCUUCAUUGUCAAUCCCUAUAAGGCCUUCCCUAGAGGAAUUCACCUACGAUAUUGGGGACCUGGGAAGAAGGUGACGAUCCAACAGGUUUUAGACACGUUCAAGGGAGGGCAGUUUUAGCAGGAGGGAGACGCUAACAAGAUAGCCCUCGUCUUGAUCGCGACCAAUGUUUUAUUCGGUCAAGACUAUAGACGAUCUGUGGUUCCAUGGUUGUUGUCGCUAGUCGAGAACAUCGACCAAUGGAAUGCAUUCCCAUGGGGCACAUACGUGUGGAGUCUGACCGUGGAUUACUUGCUGAGGGGUUUCGAACCUCCUACUGCAAGCGAAGCAGAUAAGAAGCACUACCACCUCUACGGAUUCAUAUGGGCAUUUCAAGUAGUCUGCCAUAGCCUAAUGUUUAUCAUUAUCAUUAUUGUUUUCACAUAAGAAUUUAUGAGGUGAGUAAAAAUAUUAUACAAUUGAUGUGCAGUUUUGGGCGUUGGAAGUAAUACCUGAAAUCAGAAGCUUGUUUAGAAGGCAGCGGCAGUCCGGACAGGUUUGGCCAAGAAUGCUUAAAUGGCAUUGUGACAAGAGGCCUACAAGCUUUCAACCCAAUAUUGCAAGUUUGGAAAGAGAAGGCAAGGUAAGUAAAGAAACCAUAUUUUUUUUAUUUGAUUAAAUUUUAUUUUUAUUAUCUUAGGGUAGCGAGGAUUAUACCUAAUGGCAAUGUAUGUUUUGGUGUAGUUGUGGGCAGUGAGGACUUUGGAGCCAACGAUAUAAGAGAUGUUGACCAAAUACUGGGCAGACAUUGAGGUCAAUAUCUCCGAGGGGCAGCAAUACAUUCCAUUAUGGAAGUUGGAGGGUCGCCCAGAAUUCGAUCCCCAGCAAAGGAGGAAAAUAAUGGACCACAAAGGGAAAAGUCUAGUACGAUGAGUCAUUAAGCGGAGACGCACCGCGGAUAAGGAAAUCCAUUCCGAUUUUGGUGCUGCUGAGGCACCUCAUUCUCCUCCUACAGCUGUACAUGGUGCUUCUCUUGUUGCUCACCAUGUUGUUACUCCUGCUACUCCUCCUCCUGCUUCUGGUGUUGCCCCUCCUCCUGCUUCAGGUGCUACCCCUCAUGUUAAAUCGCGCAACCGGGCACUGCGUUUGUAAAUGACUACGAGCAUUAAGCGAGGCUGCAAAAGAUAAGGACACAAUGGAAGAAAGACCUCCAGUCAUUACAGACGAAUAUGCAAAUGUAGAUGCAGUCAAUGCAGUUGGAGAUCCAGCAAUCAAUGCAGUUAGAGAUUCAGCAGGCGAUGCAGAUACAAACAUAGUCACUGCAUGAGCAUAUCCAGCAUUCACUGCAAGGGGCUAGAGGAUUAGAUUAUCGGUCGGCUAAUCGACUGUUUUGAGGUAUGAGGUUUUAUGUUAUUCAUCGCAUGAGUUAUAACAUGUACAAUGUAUACACUGUUCUAACGUGUUUGAUUUUUUUGAUCGUUUAGGGUCGAAUCUCACGUCCCGAUAGCUCGAUUAAACAUCAUUCUGCACCUAUCCUAUUUUCGAUAGAGGCAGCCUAGCAUUCUCAGCCCACACUUUCUCCCGAGGCUCCACAUCCUCUAUCUGAGGUCAAAGAAGGACCUCAUCCUACGAGUAGUGAAACGACAACCUCCGCGCGUCCUACUCUUGUCCCAACUCCAGUAGAGGCCCCCCCGCAUUGUGAGAUCACACCUUCUGUUGAGGCUCCACCUCCACCUGGGCCCGAAGAUGCACUUAUGAUCGUGGCCAGCAAACACCUUCGAAGCCCGUACGUUAACCCGCUAUUAGUCCAACGCAAAGUGAAGGACGAUUUGAAGGACAAAUAUGAGUCCUUCUUAAAAAACGACCAAGCCAGGUAAAAUGAAAACAAUCGACCAUAUUAGGGUUAACAAUUCUAGGGUAUUUAUUACAUAGACCUUUUGACAUGGGUAUUAUUAUGUGGAAAUUGUGAGAAAUGACUUUCGUAGUAAGGUAACUUCACUAUAAUUUUAAUUUAACUCUAUUUUAAAUAUGCAUGGUUAACAUUCUGGGCGUCGAAAGGUAGGAGGGCCCUGAUUUUUCUGACUAUUGGAGAUGCCGAAAGAGUUGAUGGACACCCAAUAGAUUGAUGCAUGCAUUAGUGUGUUGUGUAAGCAGGCACGUGAGCACCAUCCACAACACUACAAGUAGAGAAUAUGCAUCAUUGACACCACAUUCUAUGUAAGUAUAUUAUAUUUUACUGAGUUGUAAUUAUUCAAAUGUAUGGGGUUUAGGGUUACUUAAUUGCAUCUAACUAUUGUGCAUAAUGUAAUUGACAGCUUAUUUUGCUCCAUUUGAGCCAAGAAAUGCGGCCUUCCCCUAUCGAGAAGACAUUCAAGUCGAGUGAGGCAAUUUUGCCAGACGAUGUGUUUGCCUAUGCAAGGGGUGGGAGACCUCCGUGGGGUUUGCCAUGGCAUGAGGUUGACUCAAUUCUCGUAUCGUGCUUUUUCGACUACCAUUGGGUGGUAGUGCACGUUAACUUGCUGAAAUGGACUAUGAUGUUAGUGGACUCAUCAUACAGUGGAAAAGAAGCACUGAAGUCUGACUUGCGUGAUACGCAGAUGAGUCCACUAACAUCAUUGUUUCCCAUUAUAUGCCACCAGGCGAGGUACUUUGUCAGCUCGCGUCGUCAAAAGUGAGCUUUGACGAGGAUGAAAUAUAGGUUAAAUGAGAAGACCCCGAAAUAGCAAGAUUCGCACAGUUGCGGGGAUUGGAUUAUAGCCUCGUUGCAGUGGUUGAUCGGCUCAGAGGAUUAGACACUGAAGGCAAACACCAUAAAGGGCAUUCGAACAAAGUUUGCCCUUGAGAUUUUUGCCAAUAGCUUAAGUUGUUAAAUUUUUUAAUUUUUUUAUUCUUUUUCAAUCUGUAAAUAACAUUAACAUUAUUCUGUAUCAUUUCCAUAUUAUUCUUUGUUGUAUCAUUUACAUAUUAUUCUUUGUAUUCAUUCAUGUGAUAAGCAUACGAAUCCAAUAAAAACGACAUUGUUUUUUUCUUAUUCAUAUCGAAAAGUCUGUUAGUAUUUUACAUAAUUUACAUGACAGCGUUCAUUCGUUUGCAUAUGCCAACCCCCCUUUACUUCUUUACUUUAUAGCCUAUAUGACAUGUUGAAUUGCAUUGCGUGACAUAGGGUUGUAAGUAGUUGCUAUUGAAUUGCAUGAAUGGUGGGAAUGGAAUCAAGUCACCAGUUGAUAUUGAUUCGCGGGAGUAUUUGUUAUGGAGUCAUGCGAGUACUAAAUGUUGAAUCACGUUGGUAAUUAAUAUGGAAUCGCAUCACCAGUUGAUAUUGAUUCGCGGGAGUAUUUGUUAUAGAGUCAUGCAAGUACUAAAUUUUGAAUCACGUUGGUAGUUAAUAUGGAAUCACGUCAUUAAUUCACAUGGAAUCGUGUGAGUAGUAAAUAUGGAUCAUGUGAACCGUUAAGAUUUAGAAUCGCAUGAGUAUUUGAUAUUGACUCCCGUUAGUAGUAAAUAUGGAGUGGCGUUACUAGUUAAUAUGGAAGCACGUGACAUGACUUUUUUAUGGAAUCACGUCACUCGUUGAUAUUGACUCGCGUGAGUAAUAUAUGUGGAGUGGCGUUACUAGUUAUUAUGGAAUGGCGUGAUUUUUUAUUCUAAAAUCGAGUGAGUAGAAAAAUGGAGUCGCGUGACUGGAUAUUAUGGAAUUGCAUUACUAGUUGAUGUGGAGUCACGUGAGUAGUAUAUAUGGAGUGGCGUUACCAAUUCUUAUUGAAUCGCGUGACUAGAUGAUAUGGGAAGGUGUGACUAGUUGAGCUUGCAUCGCGUGACUCACCUAUUGUGUGUCAUGUUCUUCGAAUAAGAGUAAGCCAAUUAUCAUGGACAAUAUCAAACCAGAACUAAGUUUGGAACGACUAUUGCUUCCUCUAUGGAGUUUUCGCUUUUCUAUUCUACUAGUUCUAGUGGAGGUCUGCAUCAACUUCUUGGAGUAGAAGAUAUUUUGUAGAGGUUCUGGUGUUUGAUUGGUGGAGUUGUGGAUUGGUGAGACAUGUAGGGAAAGCCUAAUUGAAGCAAGAUUUGGUUGGAUAUCCUAGAUACAUAAGAGCAGGAUAGAAGUUACAAACAGCCAUGUAGUCUAUUUGUUGUGGUUAUAGCAGCAACAAAUAAUUUUCACUGUGAUAGCCAAAACCUAGUAUUUCUAAGUUUAGGGUUCAACAGUUGCUAUUGAGAUAUUUUAUAAGUGCUUAGCAAAUAUGAGUUUGUUUCAAGUUUGGGUUUCUUUGUAGCAUAAAACCAUAUUGGAGGAGUUUGUGCAAAUUACACCUUUUUUUAUGUUCAUGUGUUGGAUUGAAGGAAAGACAUAGAGAUUAUUGAUAUCUUUUUGAAUCCAAGAACAUGGCUUAAAUGACUGAUCCUUCCUUGUAAUGCGGAACGGUUUGGAACAGUUUCCUUGCAACUUUUCUUCACCCUUAAACUAAGUUUGGAAUGGUUGGAAGAUGAAACGACAGCUAUGGAUAGAUAUUGGGAAGACUGGAAUAUGAAAGAAACAGUUGGAAGCUAUCUUAUGCCCUUUAUGUUUUUUUAUUACAACGGUCGACAUUAGAACAACUAUUACGAUUAUUAUACAUCAUUUUGUGGCCAAAAAUAUGAUGCAAGAUGCCAAAAUCAAUCACGCAAAUAUUAUUAAAUAUUUUGUGCUUUAUUUAAUGGUUUACAAAGAAAAACAAAUUAUUAAGGAGUACAAUGAAUUUGAUGAUCCAACAAAUGGGCUAAGUACUGUAAUUGGAAUUUGAUGAUCUAACUAUGCAAUGGCAUUUUUGUAAAUAAGGGGAACUGUAGUCAACUAUAGGAUAAAUAUCUAAUUUUUUUCAGCACUUUCUCCUCACUUCCAACAGCUUCUUCUUCUUCUUCCCUCAAGCUUUCCUUAACUUUGGUGGUUCAACUUCUCUUCACCCUUAAACUAAGUUUGGAACGGUUUGAAGAUGAAACAACAACUAUCGAUAUAUUUAUAAGUGGAAAUUAUGGGAAAUUACUUUUUUAGUAAGGUGACUUCAAAAACGCCUUAUAAUAUAUCUUCUUGCUCAGAAGUAAACAUGUCUAAUCUUUGUGUUGUAGCAGUGUUCAUUGCAGCCAUAUUGGAAUCAUCAUUCAUGAGUCCAGCUGACUUCAGAGGACGAUUCUUCUUACUACCAUUUAAAGCCCAGCGACGUGAGCCCUUACACUGUCACGUGACUGAUGCUGUUUUUCACUUUGAAUGCUACCCAAACCAUUUAGUGUAUCCCAGCCAUUUGAACUUGCUGGUUGAUUUGACUCAUCAAGAGAGCCCCAACCUUCAUAACAUUCUGGUGACUUUUGUUGUUCCCAGCCACUAGAUUUGGAAGAAUCGUCCAAGGUUUUCGAAGGAAUGACAUCUUCUGUUCCCCAACCAGUCCGUGGUAGUGCAUCACUAGCAUAAGGUUUUUCACAUUCUUCCUCCAUUGUUCCCCAACUAGUUCCACCAUCCCCACCAUUGGACUUGAAGGUUUUAUCAUCCAUAUGGACAUCUUGUGUAUCUAACUUUUCAUUCUGCAACCAGAUAGUUCAGUUUGCUCUUUCAUACAAGUUCCAUACACUUUGAGAGAGACAUCUUGUGUUUUAGAUUUGCUUGUCCCCCAAUCACCGCACUCAGUUUGCUUCGUUGUACUGGUCACAGUUGCUAUAGAUUUGCUUGUCCCUCAAUCACAGCAGUCAUUUUGCUUCGUUGUUUGGUCACAGCUAUUGCAACAUCAUGUGUUGCAAAUAUCAUCUGCAGACUUUGUCAAACUCUGUCAAACUCAAGUUGAAAUAGUAUCAUUGAAUGCAAAUAUCAAUGGCAAGUAUCAUUGAUUCAAAUGGUUAAUGGUUCCCUUUAUUUAUAGGCAUGAAAGCUUACUCUUCAUUUUCUACACCCAUAUCAGUGCAAUAAAGGGGGGCUAAAUUGGUUAUUAAGUACCUGUUCAGCUUGCCCUUUUAUCUUAUCUACCUCUUAAAAGUAAAAGUCAUGCCAAACAUCAUUUUCCAAGUAAUUCUUAAUAAAAAACAACUUAAAGGUUUUGUCUCUUUUUCACUAAUCAAAAAGGAUUUUAAUGUUACCUUUUUUCUCUUUUCCAAGAAAUUCAUUAUCGUUUCCUCUUUUCUCUUUUUUUUUUUAAUUUAAGCAUCAUCGUAGACCAACCAAAAUCUAAUACUGUUGCAACUAUACAAGUUUGAAAUAAACUUCAAGAAUUACAUUAGAGCUUUUUAGGUUAUUGGAGAUGACACUCAAUAUCUUUUUAUGGUAAUUUUAACCAAAAUUACAGCUUAUAUAAUUUAUUUUAUUAAACAGUUUACCAAAUAUCUUUAGCCUAUUUCUCUUCUAAUUUUACACAAUUUGUUAUUAAGCGGGCUAAAUCAGUAGAUAAUCACCUUCAGCAUUAGGUAGCUAAAGUCACGCAAUGCCUAAAAACAGGUCACGCAAUGCUCAAUAAAUAUUCAGUCACAUAAUUCAGUCAUGUAACGCCUGUAACGCAACGCUCAACAAAUAUUAAGUCACGUAAUGCCUAUAAAGAACUCACGCAAUGUUCAACAAAUAUUCAGUCAGGUAAUUUUCAGUCACGUAAUACCUGUCACGCAACACUCAACAUAUAUUCAGUCACGUAAUGCCUAUAAAGAACUCACGCAAUGCUCAACAAAUAUUCAGGCACCUAAUGCCAAAUAAACAGGUAACGAUUCCUAAUAUCCAGUCACACACCCUAAUAUCCAGUGACUCAAUGCCUAACAAAUAUUCACGCAUCGCCUAUGAACUGAUUGAUUUCGCUACCCCCAGCCAGAUUUAAGUUUCCAAACUCAUAUAAUUUACACAUCAACUUUUUCGUUCUAUGAAUAACCCUAAAUAAACACAAGAACCUAUAACAAAUACCUUGAUGUCAUCUCUGCACUUUGGGAUCGUGAGAAAGUUGGCUGCCGAUAUAGACCUCGAUGGCAUUAGAGAGCUAGACGGAGGGAUAGCUAAAUCUAAAUCGAGAUUUAAUUUUGGAAUUUUAAGCUGAAUGGCAGAAGAGCAGAAAGAAAGAAACUGAGACGCGCCUUCAUUCAGAUUAAUUGGAUUAAAGGCUAUUCUUGUCAAGUCGUGCCAAAAAUUGACUAAAAACAGUUAAAAUUAUAAAGACGGUCAUUUUUUAAGUCACCUUACUAUGAAGGUCAUUUCCCACAAUCUCCUCUUUUUUUAUUAUUAACGCAACUCUGUUUGGUGACUGGCUUUUUUUGUGAUCCUUUGGACUAUUUGGAUUCACAGAAGCAAUCUUGUUUUCAAUGGUAAUCUUUGGGAUCAUGGGUACAUUUUUUAUAUUGUUAAGCUUAGAGUAAGUUGCUGGGUAAAAGCCAAACGACCACAAGUUAAUUCUUUUGUUAUUGAGAUGUUUUCUGUGCCGGCUUGUAUUUAUGCUUGAUGUUCCAAGCAAAACUCUAGGAAAAAGUCCAAUGUUGAUGGCACUGCUCGUGGUUGCCCUGGUCCUUCUAGUAUGGGUGGUGCAAUGCGUGAUCAUGAAAUACGUGUUAAAAUCCUCUUUUCCAAACCACCUGGCCAUGGUGAUUCCAAUGUGACGAAAAUCCUUGCUAUUAAGGAUGCUUUUUAUCUUUUUGCAGCUUCCUUAUGGUGCUCUACUCAUUCCCUCAUUGUUGAAUCUGAUUCAUCUAAUUUUGUUUUCUGAGUCAACCAACCAGCUUCUGUUCCUUGGAGAUUUAAAGGGAUCAUGAACCAUAGCAAUUGUUUGAAGAACAAAAUCAAGAAUUGGUAUGUUAUUCAUACGUCAAAAGAAGCUAAUCACCUAGCUGACAAACUUGCCAAACUGGCUGUGGAUCGCUCAACUGAUCGUCUUUCGGUAUUCGCUUAGUUUUUUUCUUCCUUCUAGGUUCCCCUGGUGCUGUCCUUGUUUUGCUCUCGAUGACUUUCCAUUUGUUUUUUUGUCUGUCUUUGUUUUAUUUUUGUCUUACGUUGGUCUUGAGAAUUUUUUCCAUUUGUUGUCUAUUAGUGGUGCCUUAUAUUGAAGAAUUCCCAUCUACUGAUGAGGCUCUGUCAUUUCAUUAAUAUAUGAUGCCAUUCAAAAAAAAUGUUUUAUAAAAAAAAACUCUGAAAUAAUACAUCCUAAAACAACAAUAUAGCUGAUAGCAUGAACUGUCACCACCAAGCAUAGAAAAAAUUUGAUCUAUAAUUAUCCCUAAUUUAGCAAUUGAGUCAACAAAUGAAUUUGCUUCUCUGAAGACAUGAACAAAAUCUACCGUACCGAUAUCAUUUCUGAAUUUGUCAAUCUCAUUAAAUCAAACUAGAUUGACAUACUCAAUUAAUUGCACUUUAGAAUAAGAUUCAACAAUUAAUAGCACUCUUUCAUUGUCUCGUCUGACAUCCAAAAGCGAAAAACAUACAAAAAUAGACUAUAAACCUUAUCCAUUCCAACUCAAAAUUCAAAUCCAGAAUUGUCUUAGAUCGUAAUCUUCAACUGUAAAUUUGUUUGAUAAUAUUUUGAAUAAAUGCACUUUAUCUUCAUUGCCUUAGAAAUUGAAAAGUAAAUAAAGAUGUUGAAGAAGAUAAUAUUGGAGCAAGGUAUGAAAUUCAUUGUCUUAUAUAAAAUAUGUUUUUGUACUCUAUCCAGCCAAGGGAGAAAAGAAGAAAACAAAUAAAAAAUUUUGUCUGAGUAGAGUUUGAUUUUUGAUAUUUUGAAUUUUAGUAAAUUUGUUUGAUAAUAUUUUGAUACGACAUUGCUUCCAUGCCCACAAGACCAAAGAAAUUCAAUACUAGUUAAUGAUGUGGCAAAAUGGAAGGGUUAAUUUCAUCACUUUGUCAUCAUAUGUAUAUAUAUAUAUAUAUUGUUAGGAAAAAAAUUAGCAACAAAGGAAUAUAAAACAAGUAAAAACAGUAAUUGGUCUGAGGCGUGAUAUCACUAUCCUUAAGGAUAAUUUUCACCCCUUCGGAGUAUAAAACUUGGUGCAAAAAGGACUGUAGCGAUUAUCCUCUAGGAUUCAACAGACCUUUCCUUAUAGUUUGCACAAACUAUUAAGGGAUGAUAGGAACAGCAAAAAGGAAAAAACCCAGCUAGAAAAGAAAGGAGGCAAAGAAAGCUUAAGAGAAGAAAGGAAGCAAAGGAAAUUAGUCAAGAAAGCUUAAGAGAAGAAAAGCUUUUGGUGUGUGUUGUGAGUGAGGGUGUGAGGCUGUAUUUAUAGGCAUGGAGUGAAGUGAACGUUGCACCAAAUAAGGUGAACGUUGCACCAGAUUAAGGAGUUGAGAAAAACCUGGUCAAUAUUUAACUAAGUUAGAUAAACCUUGGGGCAAAACCAGGAUAAACGUUGGAGCAAAACUAGGAGAACCAGGUAAGCAUGAUAGGGUUUGAGUUUGAUUUAAUCAAAGGCUGGAAAAGCUUAAAAAAAAUUAAAGCCAAGGUACAAAAAGUCACUUGGGCACAACCCAUGUGUAUAUUCGGACUCAAGGGGGGGAAUCUGAAAUUUCUAAAGGUUUGGCCCAAUCUUGUGUGCACGUGAGCCCACUCCGUUUUCCUUACUUGCAACAAGCCCAUAGUUGGUUUUCAUAUAUAAGGCAUUCACCUUUUAUGUAUCUUGGCAAUGUGGGAUGUUUGAACCUAAUGAAAUACACUAUUUUUCAACAAUCCCUCAUAUAUUUCACAAGGUUUUAUAAGAAGUUUCGCUCGGUCAAAUUUCAUUUGAGUGUAAUGCAUCGUGACUGGUGUUUUUUAAGCUAUGAACCACAUGUAGAAAGAAUGAAAUAUAAGUCACAAAAUUUUGGUGAAGUUUGUAACUUAUAUGAACAAAAAUUCUUUAUGUGAAAUAUCGUUUUCAUCAAUCACAUUACACCCCCACAAUUUCUAUUGUUCAACGCGAUUUUGCGUGAAUAGGCCAUACGCUUGCCUGGUUAUUCAUAAGUGCUCUAGAGAAUUUGCCAUAAUUCUCAUAGGAGCAGCCCCAUUCCACACUUAUAUAGGUUGAUUCCAUCAAGUGUAUACUGCAGUAUAAUACACUACCUAAAAGGGAUAUGGAAUGCAUUAAGAGUUUAACUCAACCUCUCUUGCAUUGCAGUUUUGCACUACUUACACACCAUAGAAGGGACAAUAAUUUCAAUAGUGCAUUAAUUUAUCAACAAAUAACUUGUUAUUACUCAUAUGAACCUAAUUCAUGGGAUUUCCAAUCACAUAGGUUGGAUUACUAUUAUUUGUUGAUUUCCUCAUUUGGCUUAAGUCUCAUUCCCCUCAAUGUAGCAUUAAUUAAUUUUCUUUCCAGGGGUUUAGUCAAAGGAUCAGCCAAAUUCAGCUCUGACUUCACAUAAUUAAUGGAUAUAAUUCCAUCUCUAAGCAGUUGCUUUACUACAUCAUGUCUUAAACGAAUGUGUCUACUUUUACCAUUGCAAGUUUUAUUAUUUGCAAUGGCUAUUGCCGCUUGGCAAUCACAAUGCAUAGACACAGAAGGUGUUAGUUUCAUUCCCAAUGAAAUAUCUACUAAGAGGUUUCUUAACCACUCACCCUCAUUGCCAGCCAACUCUAAAGCCACAAAUUCUGACUCCAUUGUAGAUUUAGCAAUUAUUGUUUGUUUGGCCGAUUUCCAAGUUAUAGCACCCCUACCAAGGGUGAAUACAUAACCACUUGUAGAUUUUGUCUCAUCUGAAUCUGAGAUCCAGUUAGUAUCAUGGUAUCCUUCUAAUACAGCAAGAAAUCCAUUAUAUAAAAUACCAUAGUUUAUGGUACCUUUCAAAUAUUUCAUCACCCUACUCAAGGCAAUCCAAUGAUCUCUAUUAGGACUUUGUGUAUAUCUGCUCAAUCUACAUACAACAUAAGCUAUUUCUGGUCGAGUAUAGUUCAUCAAAUGCAUCAAACUCCCAAUAAUCUAUGCAUACUCAGACUAAGCUACACUAUCACCUUUAUUUUUCUUUAAUUGGAUAUUACUAUCAUAAGGAGUACUCGUAGGCGUGACAUCAAAAUGUCCAAACAUUUUAAGUAGCCUCUCAACAUAAUGCUCUUGUGUUAGCAUUAAGCCACUAUCACAUCUUAUGAUUUUAGUACCCAAAAUAACUUUGGCUUCUCCCAAAUCUUUCAUGUCAAAUUUCAGAAGCUAAAAAGCUUUUUAUUUUAUCGACCACAUCAAUGCAUGUACCAAAAAUAAGCAUAUCAUCAACAUAUAAGCUAAUAAUCACACAUCCACUAUAAACAGUUUUUGUGUACACACAUUUAUCAACUCCAACAGUAGAAAAUCCAUUACUAACAAUAACUUGAUCAAAUUUCUCAUGCCAUUGUUUUGGUGCUUGUUUCAAGCCAUAUAAUGAUUUUUUCAACCUUCAAAUCAUCCACCAGCCUGUGGUAUUCAUUAAUCUAACUCUUGAUGUCCUUGUCAUCUAUCAUCUUCCAACAAUAAAAGUUGUCAAUCACGAACUUCUGUUUCCCAACAUCUUCAACAAUGUAUUUGUUAUCAUUGACUCCCAUAUUUGCUUUGCUUCUUUGUAAGGUAUAUACAUCAAACAACUCAUUAGAAAGUGUGCUAAUGAUUGUAUGCCUGCAUACCUUAUUUGCAUGCAUCCAUGGUUCCAACAUCUUGACAUCAUCUGGCUUGGAAUCAAUUAGGGCAAAAGCGACCCCAUGAACAUCAAGGAUUGAAAAAAAUCCUUUCUUGCCACCUUUUGAAGUUUCUUCCAUCAAAGACUUCUAUUUUGGAAAUAUCUGAAAAUGGUUUGACAUAUGAAGCCGAGGGCAUAGGAGGAAUGGUCAUCAGAGUGGAAGUUAUGGGGGAACUGUUGACAUUGGUGGUGGUAAUAGGGACAAAGGCAGCAUUAGGAACAGUGGCAGCAGCAUUAUCAAUGUGGGAAUCUAUUAUCCUUAAGAAUGUUAGAAAAAAAUUAGCAAUAAAGGAAUAUAAAACAAGUAAAAACAAUAAUUGGUCUAAGGCAUGGUAUCAUUGUCCCUAAGGAUAAUUUUCGCCCCUUCAGAGUAUAAAACUUGGUGUAAAAAGGACUGUAGUGGUUAUCCUCCAUGAUUCAAUAGAUACUUCCUUAUAGUUUGCACAAAGUAUUAAGAGAUGACAGGAACAGCAGAAAGGAGAAAACCUAGCUAGAAAAGAAAGGAGGCAGAGAAAGCUUAAAAGAAGAAAGGAGUCAGAGGAAAUUAGUCGAGCAAGCUUAAGAGAAGAAAAGCUUUUGGUGUGUGUUGUGAGUGAGGGUGUAAGGCUGUAUUUAUAGGCAUGGAGUGAAGUGAAUGUUGCACCAAAUAAGGUGAACGUUGUACCAGAUUAGGGAGUUAAGAAAAACCUGGUUAGCAUUUAACUAAGUCAGAUAAACGUUGGAGCAAAACUAGAAGAAUUAGAUAAGCAUGAUUGAGUUUGAGUUUGAGUUUGAUUUAAUCAAAGGCUGGAAAAGCUUAAAAAAACUUAAAGCCAAGGUACAAAAAGUCACUUGGGCACAACCCACUUGUAUAUUCACGCGCAAGGGGAAAAUUUGAAAUUUCUAAAGAUUUGGUACAAUCUUGUGUGCAUGCGAGCCCACUCCGUUUUCCUUACUUGCAACAAGCCGAUAAUUGGUUUUCAUAUAUAAGGCAUUCACCUUUUAUGUAUCUUGGCAAUGUGGGAUGUUUGAACCUUAUGAAAUACACUAUUUUUCAACAUAUAUAUCAAAAGAAAUUCAAUAUAGUUGAAUAAGAAACAUUAAUUAGCACCAUGAAAUUUGAUUAAAUUGCACUCAAGAAAACUGACUCACAUUGCCAAGCACCAGCCAGUAAAGCCAAGUAGAGGAUGAGGCAAACGUUUUACGAAAUUAUUUUUAGCCUUCCAAAUUUAUUGUCAACUUCUCUUAUUUAUCUUUGUUUCCAAAGACUAGUUCUGUCUAAUUUGGAGUGAACUUCACACGGUCAUCGAAUACUUCGUGAGCAGUCUAUAAGGACGAAAGGUUGCAUUGCCUUAUUAAAACAUAAGCCGAUGGCCAUCAAUUGGAUGGUUUUAGUAACUUCCACCAUGGUACAUGCAAUUUCAGGAUACUUUCCCAAUUUUUCCUUGAUAGCAUCUGAUAUGAUGUGUCUUUUGCUGUAUACAGAGACUCUCGUGGUUCAAUUCCUGCACCUGGUCCAAGGAAAACAAACAAAUCAAAGUUUUUUUUUUUUUUGUUUAUAGGAUUUUGAGGUUCCUCACCCGUUGCCAUGCACUGUUAAAACAAAGGGUGAAGCUGAACAACUAUUUUCAUGCAUGGUUUGUUAUUUUCAGGCAAAGUAAUGUCUAUCAUAUGUGAAUAAGCAAGUUAGACUUGGGUAACAGUAAAUAUUAUAUAUUUACCUAGUAAUGGGUUAUUGUAAUCGCUAGCGAGACAUAAAGCUGCAAUGCAAUAACCAUAUGAAUCAGUAGGAUAAUCAGAAUACAGUCAAUGUCCUUUCCAUUGUUCUUUAUAUAAAUCUUCAUUCAUGCUCUCAUAGUUGGCAAGGUUUGGCCAAAGUUGCUUCAAUUUGUCUUGAAUAGGCUUCAGUGGAUCCUACAAGUUCACAUACUCAAACAAAUAAGUGAUAAAAAUUAGGAAAAAAUAACAAAAAAAUGCAAAAAUUCAUGAGAUAGUUAAAAUCCGGAAAAUUUAAGCAAACUUACGAAAUAUCAACUAAUUUAGCUGCCAAAUAAAUUAACAAACAUCUAAUUUAAAGUGAUUUACUUACCAAAAUCUUUUCUGGAUCUGAUGGGUUGACGGAGCAUCUAUUAGUUUUUGGAUCAUAGUACCGCGCUGCCAUCUGUAAGCUGUGGCGAUAAACUUUGGAUUGUAAAACCACAAAGGACUGUUGGCUCAGGGUUCUAAUAUUACACACAGAAGGUGGCCAUUGGAGACUGAGUCUGUAGGAGGCAAAGUUAGUCUGACCUGACACUAGCAAGCUCAUUGUGGCUAAGAAUGCAUCAAUAAAAAAUUGCCUGUCCAUUUUUAACAGUCAAGGAGAUGCUUAUGCUUGCCAAGACUUGUGAUUCUCUUUUUACAGCAAUUCAAUGUCUGAAAGGGUUUUUAUAAGUACUUUGAAUCAUCAUCUAAUUAGCCAAAACGCAAAAAGAGAAAAAAGAAAAGGAAAUGACUACUUUGCCCAGUUUGAAUUGAGGAAACGAGGCACGUUUUUAUUGUUGUGGGAAAAGGAAACAAAGAUAUCAAUGUCUUAUCCAGCAAAUUUACAUAGAAAAGAGUCAAAGUGGAAAUAAACAGAUAAGCAAUUUUGAGUUUUGGAAUGACUGGUCGUUCAAUAAUAUCAAAGAUUAUGGAACAUGUUACUUAAUCUCAUAAGUAAAAUUUAAAAAUUCUAUCAACAGUGUAAUACUUGUGUGUGUGUAAAUUCUAUAAUGAUAAAUUGAAGUAAAAUCUAUAAUUAGUUUGUACAUCGACUACAACGUGAAAAACAACUAAAUUAAUAGGGAUAAGGUUUAUGAAGAAUUAUGAAUGAGGAAUUUGUAGUUAUGUGUUUAAUUUACUUUUCCUAAUUGGCUCCAAGACAAAAAUAUUGAGUGCUUAUUUAGAAAAUAAUGGGUUGGGUGCCUCAAUUUUCUAGUUUUUGUCCUUUUCUUUGUCUAGAGACAAACAUAUAUUUCAAAAUAUUUAAUUACAUACCACACGAUCACGAUCAUGUUGUCUUCUUUAUAUCAUUUCAUAUAUAUAUAUAUAUAUAUAUGAAAUUAAUUUGAUGAGCAUCCAUAAUUUUCACAUGUUAUAAUUCCAAUUUUAUGAGCUUGCUGAGAAAGGCGAAGUUGUAAUAUGGAAAACCUCAUCAUUUUCAUACCCAUCAAUUAUAUUUUGCCACAUUACCGUUAUAAUGAAUUUCUUUUCUUGUCUUUGAUGUAGAAACAAUUAUAUUAAAAUAUUAACAAACAAAUUUGCUAAAAAAUACAAAAUAUCAAAAAGCAACUAUUCUUAACGGUAUGCAGUGGCAGAAACAAGAGGGAGGCUGGUGGCGGCAGCUACCACCCCUCAAUUUCGAAUUUUUAUUAUAUAUAUAUAUAUAUGAUUAUCUUUAUAAUUAUUAUUUAACCAUUUUUUAUGCAAAAUCCUGAAUUUAUUAUUAAAUUAGUUCAGAAUACACAAAAAUGGACCUCAAUUACGAUAUGAUGAGUUAAUGAAUCCAACCCUGAUAAGGUUCAAGGAAAACGUGAUGGAGAAAAUUAUGGAACUUAAUCUUGCUUGGUUCCAAUUGGGGAUGGAUUUGGGGAGAGGGCAAUUGGGAAAUCGCUCCCACUUAGAUCCUAAAAUCAUAUGGUUUAAAAUAUUAAUAAUUUUAGUGUAAAUUUUAGUUUGCCCCGUUGCAUUGGGGAGAAAUAUCUUUUUAUAUUUUAAAAAAUAAUUAGAUAAUAUCAAGAAUUAAUGUAAAAUUAACUACUCUUCUUAAAGGAUUUAAAUUAGUAGGUGGUAUAUUUUCAUUAGAAGGUUUUAAUUUAAUCACUCAUUGACCUAUGUAAAUGUGAAUAAUAACAGAAACAAAAAUUGUUAAUUUAGUAUAUAAAAGUAAUUUGGAUUCACAUUUUGGAUCAUUGGAUAUCAUUUCACAGGAUCAUUUUAUCCUGUGAUGGGGAGACUUUGUGGGAUUGCCUUCAACGUUUGUUUGAUGUCAUUGCAACCGGAUUGGUUUGAUUUUGUUUUUUGUUUUUUUAUACAAAGGUUAAACUAUGACGGGAUUUUUAUGUAUCUUCUUAUAGAGACUUUGUGGGUCGCUCUGGUUUGACUCUUGGGACCUUAAAUGGAUCAUUCCCGGUGACAUGAAAUCUUUAUUUCUUGCUUGGAAUGGAUGUUUUUUGAUAGGCACUCAAUCUGGCGUAUGGCUUUCUAUGUUAUAUUGCGGACGCUUUGGCUUUUCAGGGUUGACAUCAUUCUCAAUGGCAAGGUAUGCGAUGCUUCUCAGGCUUUCAAUACUGUUAAAUUGCGUGUUGGGUGGUGGUUAAAGGCCCAUAGGCUUAUGGAUAAUUCUUCUGUGUUGGAUGUUAUGAGAGAACCUUCCUUUGCUAAGGUUACGCUGAGUAUACCAAAAGAAAAGCUUAUUGUGGACUGGGUCAAAACUUCUCAUGGAUACCUGAAAUUUAAUGUUGAUGGUGCAGUAAAGGGCUGUCCGUGUGCUUCCGGUAUUGGUGGUGCCUUGAGGGAUGACAAUGGUCUCGUUAAAAUUCUGUUUUCUAAAUCUAUUGGUAUUGCUGAUUCUAAUUCUACUGAAUUUUCUGCUGUUAAGGAAGCCUUCUCUCGUUUUGCAUCUUCUCCUUGGAUUAAUUCACAUGAAUUGAUUAUUGAGUCUGACUCUACUAAUGCAGUGUUGUGGUCCUAUAAUCCUUCUGGCGAAAGAAAAACUUUAGUAAUUUUAUCAGCUGUGUCUGUAAGCCUUUUAUCUUUUUCAGUUCCUUAUGUUUCCUUCCUUCCUUUUCAUGUAGAUACAAAUAUGUCAUUGAAAUCACCUGCAUCCAUUUGAAGUAAAAAAAUUUGUAAACUAAAAUUUCAAAUUUUAAUCGAAAUACUUUAAUUUAUGAUAUAUCAACACUGACUUGGGCCACUAUUGUUAUUUGAUUGGAGAAUGCAGCGGGAGUAUUGUAAUAUUUGACUCUGUUCUUUCCAGAAAUUAUGAGUAGGGAAUAGUGGGACUGAUUUCUUUUACAAUCAACUUGGACCAAUCAAUUAAAGUUUGGUAAUUAAGAUUAAAAACAAUGACAAUCGUUAAUUACAUGUCUCUAUUUACAUUAGUGAUUAAAAGUAAUUUAUAUUUUAUUUAACAUUACAUUUAUAAUCAAAUUUACCGAGAGACUUAAAUACAUAAUCCAAAUCGUGGAUAAUUGUACCAUCGAACGUUCUCAAUAUUUAUUGUUCAAGGACAAAGCAAAAAAGGAAAGAAGAAAAAACAAGAAAGAAAAGAAAGAUUACCACAUAAUAUUUAUUUAAUUAUUUCUGAAAGCCUAAACAGGAUUGGAAUCCAGCAGGCGUCUUAAAGAGUACAUUUAUUUAAACUGGAUUAGUUCCAGCUCCAUCAUCUAAACUCUUAUUAAUUAAGAAGAGUACACUAAGCCAUCCCCGAGGAUAAAAGGUUUGAUAGAAGCACCAUACCCAGAUAGCUUAUCAUAAUAUCGAUUCCAAAGCAUGAUGCCUCCAUAUUUGGCUGACUUUUUUAUCACCGGAAGAACAUCAGAUUGUAGCUUGUCCGCUGGAAUAUGCCCUCCAGAAGGAGCCGCAUCGUCAGACGCCGGUAACCCCAUAAAUAAAUGCGUCACGUUUAUCGAGGUAUCCCACUGAUUCCAUGAUCUUAGAAGGUCGUCGGCGUUACCAUCAUGGUACUGGCAUGGGGGAUUAUUAUAAAAUUGAACCCAAACAGUGUCAAAAAGGCCGGUAUCAAUGGCAGCCCCCAAAUGAUAAUCAGGGAAUAUACAUUGAGGAGCUGCAGCUAAGUAGACACUUUCGCUUUUCUCUUUAAGGAAGCGGGCAAGAUCAUCGUAGUACAAAUUCGAAGCCCCUUCUAUAUCAAAAUCAAUACCAUCCAACGUGGCAUCUCCUAAUGGACCAGGAGAUGUUCUUCCUUGCAAAAAUGUUUCCCAUAAAUAAUCUGCUACACUUUGGGCAUCAUCUUUAGAAGUUAGAUAGUAAUUACCAAUUGCACCACCAAGUGAGAGCAAUACCUUGAUUCCUAGUCCCUGGCAAUAUCUUAUUUGUUCUCCGAAUAUGACGCAUGUGCCGCUUGGUGGGUCGCAGUGACCGGCAAGGUUCAUAGACGGGGUUUGGCCGCCACCAAAAACGUUAAGGAAAGCUAUGUUUAUGAUCUCAUAUAUUCCGGUGUCACAUGCUUCCUUCAGGGUUCCCUCAAAAAGAUUUUGACCCCAAUAGGUGGAAAUGACAGCGGCGUAAGACGUUUUGCUUAGUGCUACAGCUACGAAGAAGAUGAGCAAGGCUAUGGUUUGUGAUUUCCUAGCCAUGUUUGCAAAUGUAGGAAGGGAGGGUCUGAAAUUCAGGUAGUGGUGUGAUCUGAC